UUCAUCAAGAAGUUUCAUCAAGGAUUUAUCCAGAUUCCAAAGAUUGCUCCAGAAGUUACACCAAGGAUUUCUCCAGAAGUUUCACCAGGGAUUCCACUAAAAGUUUCACCAGGAAUUCCUUCAGGAGUUCCACCAAGAAUUCCUCCAGGAAAUUCCACCAGGGUUUUCUCCAGAAGUUCCACCAAGGAUUCAUCCAGAAGUUCCACCAGGGAUCCAGGAGGCCUACUAAGCAUUCCUCUAGGAACUCCUUACAGGGAUUUAUCCAGGUGUUCCACCAGGGAUUCCUCCAGAAGUUUCACCAGAAAUUCCCUCAGGACUUGUCAUAAGACGAGUUUGUACAAUCCCAUUUAAUUCCACCACUUAAUUGUACCUUGACAGAUACGUAUUUCGACCUCAACAGUAAGGUCGUCUUCAGUUUCUCGUACUUGACUCGACUUAGGAGUUCUAUCAGGGAUUCCUCCAGGAGGCCUACUAAGGAUUGCUCUAGGAAGUUCCAACAGGGAUUCAUCGAGAAGUUCCAACAAGGAUUCAUCCAGCAGUUUCAUCAAGGAUCCCUCCAGAAGUUUCACCAGGAGUUCAACCAGGGAUUCCUCCAGAAGUUCCAUCAGAGAUUCCUCCAAGAGUUCCACUAAGGAUUCUUCCAGGAGUUCCAUCAAAGAUUCCUUCAGGAGCUCCACCAAGGAUUCCUCCAGAAGUUUCACCAGGGAUUCCACCGUAUAAGGCAUACUAAGGAUUUCGCUAAGAGUUCAAAUAUAAAAUCCACCAGGGAUUCCUCGAGAAGUUCCUCCAAGUAUUCAUCCAGGAGUUCCACCAGAGAUUCCUCCGGAAGUUCCACCAAGGAUUCAUCCAGGAGUUCCACUAAGGGUUCCUUCUAAAGUUCCACCACAGAUAACAGAUAUUUAAGCUAGAACAAAUUUUAUUGGAAAUCUUGUGUAAAUUUUCUAAAUGAUGUACGUUGACUCACUACUACCAUCUACUCAACUGAUUGCAGAAGUACAUACGGCUGAUGGUAUUAAGAUAGGCAGAGUUGACGGAAAACAGGUCUGGUUUAAGUAACGGUAACAAUGGACGUGACAUAAUUUUAUUCAUUCAGGUUCUAGCCUACUACAGGAAAUGUUAUUCGAUGUUGCUAGCCCAUAGCGCUCGGUUGCUAUUCAACACUCCUUCUCAACCGAACAGCAUUAGGUCCGAUGCCCAUGGGCACGUGCACGUAGCGUCUUUUCAACGCUGAGUGUAAGCGGCGUCAAAAAGACGCGGGUGUGCAUCAGGAAAAAGCGUUAAGCCGUUUCGGCCCGGGUAUCGAUUUCAAAUUGUAAAAUCCACCGUUCUCUUGUGUUUCGACCGAUUUGCAUGAAAUUUGGAGGAAAGAUGCAUUAAACCCUAUAUUUUUGUGUAGAUGUAUUGAUUUGGUGAUUGGGUCCUUGGGUACGGUUUUAUCGAGGGGGUCCCCUGGGUCAAAUGGGGUCAAAAAACCCAGAUUAAUCCACCUAGCGGUGAUGGCGCCUUUCUCGCGUAAAAAGGUAAUAAAUGUAGCCUUUACGCUUACACCUCGAUGAUGUACAAGAAAGGCAAAACAGUUACACCGUCUAAUGUUAUGAUAGAAAAUUUACACUAGUAGACGACAGAUGGCGCUGCCAAAAGUUUCUCGAAUUUCCUAUGUUCGAAUUUUGACUUUCGGACAAUUUAGUACUAUGUACAUGACCAUCGCUUUCCCCCGUUAUUACACAGAACGAAAAAAAGUUGUGAUUUUAACAUUUUCUAUAUCUUAUUUUGAAAGUUGGAAAAAUUUGGUAUUUUUGAGUGCUAAAAUAUUUAAUCCAAAUGCAAAAUGUAUGAUUUGACAGUUUUUUUCUCAGGUUAAAAUUGUUAUUUUAACAGUGAGAGCACUCAGAAUAAAACUUGUAAAAUAGUCGAAAUAACUUUUUCAUUUCGUAUUUCUGGCAACACUAGACACAACAAAUAAUCAAACUGGCAGCUCGCAACGAUCUGUCAAAAUGAAAAUAAAAAACUACAAAAAUGUUCCGUUUCAAAGGUUUAUUGUGCUAGAGGACAAAAGACAGCAUAAAGGGGCCAGUCUGCUGACCACCAUCCGAAAACUCAUGUAUGUGUCAGGGAAGAAAAUUUUGCUGAGAUGGAUUAUGGCAUAUGGAUUUUUUGAUAACAAGCCAGCAAGCCGAACACCGAAGAAGCUGCAUUAGCUUGGUCGAAAAAAAAAAUGCGCGGAUUAACGAUCCAGGUGCUAGCGUCGACUGCAAAGCUCGCUUAAAGUUCUAAUCUGUGUUAAAUUAAGUGCGUUGGUCGUCCUUUACAUCUUGAGUCGAUACCGAAGAAGAAACAUCCCUGAACUGUGCGGCAAUGGUGCCUUCUGGAAUCGGGAGAAUGCCUUCCAAAGCGAAGGCACCCCACUGAUGUUUGCUGCGACAUUCGGAAAAGCUGCUCAAUAACAUCAACACAGCGGGCCGAUCGAGCCGACGUGAAAGCGAUUAAUAAAAAUAGAAAAUAAAAUGGAAACAAAAUAAUUAUUCAUAAAUCUGUAUAUUUUAUUAUUGACAAAUUUGAAUUGAAAAUGCACAUGUGGGAUUAAGAAU